rnacentral:lncRNA from 1 species
UUGCAGAAAAAGCUUGAUGAUUCAUAUUCUGAAGCAGUAAGACAGAAUGAAGAGCUUAACUUGCUCAAGACACAGUUAAACGAAACCCAUUCAAAACUUCAAAAUGAACAAACAGAGAGAAAGAAGGUAGCUGAUGAUUUGCACAAGGCUCAACAGUCACUGAACUUCAUCCACUCCAAAAUUUCACUAAAAGCUGCUGGAGACACGGUUGUUAUUGAGAAUAAUGAUAUUUCCCCAGAAAUGAGUGAAGUAAUCGGGAAAUUAUUCGUUAGCAGUUAACAGAAGGCGUUGUAUUAUAUUUUGCCAAAUUAAAGCCUUAUUUAUGUUUUACCCUUUCUACUUUGUCAGACACUGAACAGUUUUGUCUUUUCUAAUCCUUGUUAGACUACUGACUUAAAGAGAAAACACUUUAAAAAGCCAACUCUGUAGACACCUUCAGAGUUUAGUUUUAUAAUAAAACUGUUUGAAUAAUUAGACCUUUACAUUCCUAAAGAUAAAAUAAAUGUGAUCUUUUAUCUUAUUUUGCUCAAUUAAAUUGUUCAGAAGAUCAAAGUGGUAUAGACAAUGUGAAAUUUAACAUUUUAAUACUGAUGUUGU